AAAACUUUCAACAACGGAUCUCUUGGUUCUCGCAUCGAUGAAGAACGCAGCGAAUUGCGAUACGUAUCAUGACUUGCAGACGUGAAUCAUCAAUCUUUGAACGCACAUUGC
rnacentral:rRNA from 1 species